rnacentral:rRNA from 1 species
CAUGCAAGUCGAACGAUGAAGCUGGGUGCUUGCACUUGGUGGAUUAGUGGCGAACGGGUGAGUAACACGUGAGCAACCUGCCCCUGACUCUGGGAUAAGCGCUGGAAACGGCGUCUAAUACCGGAUAUGUACCGUGGUCGCAUGAUCUGCGGUUGGAAAGAUUUUUCGGUUGGGGAUGGGCUCGCGGCCUAUCAGCUUGUUGGUGAGGUAAUGGCUCACCAAGGCGUCGACGGGUAGCCGGCCUGAGAGGGUGACCGGCCACACUGGGACUGAGACACGGCCCAGACUCCUACGGGAGGCAGCAGUGGGGAAUAUUGCACAAUGGGCGGAAGCCUGAUGCAGCAACGCCGCGUGAGGGAUGACGGCCUUCGGGUUGUAAACCUCUUUUGGCAGGGAAGAAGCGAGAGUGACGGUACCUGCAGAAAAAGCGCCGGCUAACUACGUGCCAGCAGCCGCGGUAAUACGUAGGGCGCAAGCGUUAUCCGGAAUUAUUGGGCGUAAAGAGCUCGUAGGCGGUUUGUCGCGUCUGCUGUGAAAUCCCGAGGCUCAACCUCGGGCUUGCAGUGGGUACGGGCAGACUAGAGUGCGGUAGGGGAGAUUGGAAUUCCUGGUGUAGCGGUGGAAUGCGCAGAUAUCAGGAGGAACACCGAUGGCGAAGGCAGAUCUCUGGGCCGUAACUGACGCUGAGGAGCGAAAGGGUGGGGAGCAAACAGGCUUAGAUACCCUGGUAGUCCACCCCGUAAACGUUGGGAACUAGUUGUGGGGUCCUUUCCACGGAUUCCGUGACGCAGCUAACGCAUUAAGUUCCCCGCCUGGGGAGUACGGCCGCAAGGCUAAAACUCAAAGGAAUUGACGGGGACCCGCACAAGCGGCGGAGCAUGCGGAUUAAUUCGAUGCAACGCGAAGAACCUUACCAAGGCUUGACAUACACGAGAACGGGCCAGAAAUGGUCAACUCUUUGGACACUCGUGAACAGGUGGUGCAUGGUUGUCGUCAGCUCGUGUCGUGAGAUGUUGGGUUAAGUCCCGCAACGAGCGCAACCCUCGUUCUAUGUUGCCAGCACGUAAUGGUGGGAACUCAUGGGAUACUGCCGGGGUCAACUCGGAGGAAGGUGGGGAUGACGUCAAAUCAUCAUGCCCCUUAUG